ensembl:lncRNA
AAUAGACGCUUUUUAGAUGGAGCCUUGUUGCCCAGGCUGGAGUGCAAUGUUGCGGGAUAUCCUCGGCUCACUGCAACUCUUCUGCCUCCCGGGUUCAAGUGAUUCUCCUGCCUCAGCCUCCUGAGUAGCUGGGAUUACAGGCAUGCGCAACCACACCCGGCUAAUUUUGUGUUUUUAGUAGUGACGGGGUUUCUCCAUGUUGAUCAGGCUGGUUUUGAACUCCUGAACUCCGGUGAUCCUCCCACCUUGGCCUUCCAAACUUUUGGGAUUACAGGUGUGAGCCACCACACUCGGCCUAUUUUUUUUCCAUUUAACAAUGUAUUUUAGAAAUCAGUGCAUAUAGGCUGGGCGCAGUGGCUCACACCUGUAAUUCCAGCACUUUGGGAGGUCGAGGCGGGCAGAUCACCUGAGGUCAGGAGUUCAAGACCAGUCUGGCCAACAUGGCAAAACCCUGUCUCUACUUAAAAUACAAAAAUUAGCCGGGCAUGGUGGAGACGAAUCAGGAGGCAAUUGGCCAAAGGAGAAGGAAGUACUGAUGGUAGGCAGAAGGUGGAUUAAGGAAGCAGAAGGAUUGAUAAUUACCACUGUCUAUUGAGAAUUUAUUAUUUGUGCCAGGCAUUUUACUAAGCACUACAUACUGUCCAGCAUUCAUCCAAUCCUUGGAACAAAUAAAGAAAUAUUUGCAAUUUACAAGGUAGGAAACUAAAGUUCAGAAAUAUUAACCUGUCCAAUGUUACACAGUUUGGAAAGGACAGAACUGGACUCCAACUCUGGCUCCUCUGACUCCCAAGUCCCAGUUCUUUUUUUUUUUUUUUUUUUUAUUGAGAUGGAGUCUCACUCUGUCGCCCAGGCUGGAGUGCAGUGGCACAGUCUCGGCUCAUUGCAACCUCCGCCUCCCGGGUUCAAGUGAUUCUCCUGCCUCAGCCUUCUGAGUAGCUGGGAUUACAGGCGUGCUCCACCACCCCUGGCUAAUUUUGUACUUUUAGUAGAGACGGGGUUUUGCCAUGUUGGCUGGGCUGGUCUCGAACUCCUGACCUCAGGUGAUCCGCCCUCCUCAGUCUCCCAAAGUGCUGGGAUUAUAGGCCUGAGCCACUGCACUCGGCCUAAUUUUUUUUAUUUUUAGGAGAGAUGGGGUUUCACCAUGUUUCAAACUCCUGACCUCAAGUGAUCUGCCUGCCUUGACCUCACAAAGUGUUGGGAUUAUCGGUGUGAGCCACCACGCCUGGCCUGUCUUUCUCUCUCUUUUUUUUUUUUUUUGAGACGGAGUCUUGCUCUGUCGCCCAGGCUGGAGUGCAGUGGCCGGAUCUCAGCUCACUGCAAGCUCCGCCUCCCGGGUUCAAGCAGUUCUCUGCCUCAGCUUCUGGAGUAGCUGGGAUUACAGGCGCCUGCCACCAUGCCCAGCUAAUUUUUUUGUAUUUUUAGUAGAGAUGGGGUUUCACCGUCUUGGCCAGGCUGGUCUUGAACCCUUACCUCGUGAUUCGCCUGACUGAGCCUUCCAAAGUGCUGGGAUUACAGGUGUGAGCCACUGCAGCAGGGCCUUUUUUUUUUUGAAAGAAGACCAAACUUCCCAACUUGAAUAAGGCUCUUGAGGGCAUGCAAGGCCUGGUCUCUGCAUGUCCCUCCAGCAGCAGGCCCUAGCCUGCUCCUGAGCCUUUGGCAAGCUCUUCCUGGGGACCCCGUUUCCACGCCUCACCUACCGUCUAUCUUCCUUGGAUCUUGGCUCCUUCAUCUUUUUCUCAACUGCUUCUCAGGGACACCUUUCUUUCCCACCAUGGCUGCUUCUUCCCUUAUGCUGUGGUAUCUUGCUGGUGUGAUUCUUUAUCCAUUUUCCUACCUACCCCCUAAGGUCUGUGUGGGCAGGCACUGUGUCUUCCUUGGC